rnacentral:lncRNA from 1 species
UAGCUAAAGGUCAUUCAUCAUUUAUGUAUACAUCAAAGCAUAAAUGUUAUAAAUAAAGCAUGAUUGAGCAAUUUCCAUGUCAAUUAAUAAUGAUAACUUUUCCAAAAGAUCUCGCAAGAAACAAUAAUUCAUUUCAUGAGAAGGCAAUUUUGAAGCCCUCGAUAUUUAAGCUUCAGCACAUAUAAUGGAAAAAUGAUAUUAGUCAUAAACUAAAAUGAACAUCAGUAUCUGUUAAAGAGUUUCUACUAUCCACCUUAACAACUCAUUAACAGUGAACUGGUGCAGAAAAUAACAAUAGAGAAAUGUUAUUUUUUCUUUAAGGAAAUGUUAUUGGAGCCAACGGUCGCAUGAGCAAUAGGUUCAAUGUUAGACUCGGAUCCCCCGCCGUUACUAUGCAGAAAAUAACAAUAGAGAAAUGUUAUUUUUUCUUUAAGGAAAUGUUAUUGGAGCCAACGGUCGCAUGAGCAAUAGGUUCAAUGUUAGACUCG